AAAAAUAAAGUAAUGGUAGAAGCACCUGAUUAAUAACUCACUAAAACUCAAGGACAUCAAGUGAGACCGACUGAGAGAGUUCAACCACAUGAAACCAGAGGUGCAGACACGACAUGUAACUUUAUGUUCACAGAAAAUAAUUUCUUGCAAUCUAUACUUCUUUUUCCUCCUGUAGUGUAAAUAUUAUUCUUGUGGAUGUUUAGAUGAUCAGCUAUCAUCUGUUCAGGUCCAGUGACUUCCCCUGGCUAAAGCUGGCCCUAAAGAGAAUGUGUCUGUCAAAGUGAACAGGAGCGGAAAUGAAUAAAAUAUAUUGAACAUUAA